rnacentral:rRNA from 1 species
UACGUAGGGUGCGAGCGUUGUCCGGAUUUACUGGGCGUAAAGAGCGCGCAGGCGGUCGUACAAGUCGCGUGUGAAAGCCCCCGGCUCAACUGGGGAGGGUCACGCGAUACUGUUCGACUCGAAGGCAGGAGAGGGUAGUGGAAUUCCCGGUGUAGUGGUGAAAUGCGUAGAUAUCGGGAGGAACACCAGUGGCGAAGGCGACUACCUGGCCUGUUCUUGACGCUGAGGCGCGAAAGCUAGGAUAGCAAACGGG